GUCAAAUAUGGGGGAUAGCUUCAUAAGCUCACUGCUGGCAUCAUCCCCUUCUAUCUGUGUCAUCCUGCAGUGGGAGGGAGAGACUCUGUGUCCCAUAUCUCCUUCUGUUUGUGUCACCCUGCAGUGGGAGGGACAGACUCCGUGUCCCAUAGCUCCUUCUGUCUGUGUCACCCUGCAGUGGGAGGGACAGACUCUGUGUCCCAUAGCUCCUUCUGUCUGCGUCACCCUGCAGUGGGAGGGACAGACUCUGUGUCCCAUAGCUCCUUCUGUCUGUGUCACCCUGCAGUGGGAGGGACAGACUCUGUGUCCCAUAGCUCCUUCUGUCUGUGUCACCCUGCAGUGGGAGGGACAGACUCCGUGUCCCAUAGCUCUUUCUGUCUGUGUCACCCUGCAGUGGGAGGGACAGACUCCGUGUCCCAUAGCUCCUUCUGUCUGUGUCACCCUGCAGUGGGAGGGACAGACUGUGUCCCAUAGCUCCUUCUGUCUGUGUCACCCUGCAGUGGGAGGGACAGACUCCGUGUCC